AGAAAUUGAAAAUCAGGAAGAGGCAUAUUUCACGUUUGUGCGUGAAUCUAACAACUCUUUUCAUCUGAAAAACUGUUAUUGUUUGCUAGAUUCACGCACAAGCUCGUAAUAUGGCUUUUCCAAUCUCUGCGCUUUGAUUUCU